rnacentral:rRNA from 1 species
CGGGUGAGUAACGCGUGAGGAACCUGCCUCAAAGAGGGGGACAACAGUUGGAAACGGCUGCUAAUACCGCAUAAGCCCACGGCUCGGCAUCGAGCAGAGGGAAAAGGAGCAAUCCGCUUUGAGAUGGCCUCGCGUCCGAUUAGCUAGUUGGUGAGGUAAUGGUCCACCAAGGCAACGAUCGGUAGCCGGACUGAGAGGUUGAACGGCCACAUUGGGACUGAGACACGGCCCAG